UCACACUCAUCUACGAGCUUAGAACCAAGGCUGAUGAAUGGGAUGUAAACAAAUGGGUUUGAGAAGGAAUACCGAAAGUCAUAAGCAAAGGAGAAGACUGCAUUAUCAGACUAGAAGAGAAGAACACUGGUGAACUAUAUGCUCGGGCAUUUUUAAGAAAAGGAGAGCCGCAUCCGGUGGAACCUGUAAUUGAUAGCAGCAGAUACUUUGUUCUUCGUGUGGAGGAAAACAUAGGAUGAGCUCAAGUGCAGCUGAGACAGAACCAAGUAUUGAGUCAGCUCAGCCGGAAAAUCUAAAUACACCACUUUGGAAGUAUGUUACUAAGGAGGCAAUGGAAGGGGUAGUCAACGGAGGCAAUGUUUCUGUUACAUGUAAAAUAUGCAAAAGGAAUUUCCAUGGGUCACAUUCAAGAGUGAAGGCUCAUUUUCUUAAACUCAAAGGUUAUGGUGUCAUUGCUUGCCCCAAAGUCACAUCAAAACAGCAGUCGGAAAUGUUAGAACUUCUAGAGUCUUGUCAACAACAGUUGAGUAACAGAGCACCUAGAAAAGUUCCUUUGCCUUCAUCUUCAAGUUUGACAGGAAGUGGUUCGAGUUAUUUUCCCUUAGAGGAGAGGGAUAGUGUGAAGAAGAAGAGAAGGGGAGUGAGUCCGCAACUAACCAAAGCUUUCAAGAUUGAAGAAAGACAACAAUGUGAUGCUGAAGUUGCUAGAAUGUUCUAUACUAGUGGACUGCCAUUCAAUCUAGCAAAGAAUCCUCACUACCAAAACUCUUAUAGUCGUGCUUCACAGAUUCCAGGCUAUGUUCCUCCAGGGUACAACUAAUUGAGAACCACACUUCUUGAUAAUGAAAUAUGUCAUAUUGAACGGAUGCUACAACCUAUUAAGAAGACUUGGAGAGAAACCGGUGUCAGUUUAUGUUCGGAUGGAUGGACUGAUGAUCAAAUGAGGCCAUUGAUUAAUAUGAUGGCUGCAUGUUCCAAUGGGGCUAUUAUGUUGAAGGCAAUCAAUUGUGAAGGGCAAUACAAAGACAAGUUUGAAGUUAGUAGAUUGCUCUUGGAAUCCGUCAAUGAAAUUGGUUCCGAUAAUGUGGUUCAAGUAGUGACCGAUAAUGCACCUGUGUGCUCUGCUGCUGGUGCAAUUGUUGAGAGUACUCACCCUCACAUGUUUUAAACACUAUGUGUGGUUCAUACCCUUAACCUUGUUUUAGAUGAUACUUUGAAAGCAAAUUCUCAUUUACCGGGUGAGCAAGUAGAUAAAGAGUUGGGGUGGCUUAUGAAAGUUGUGAAUAAUGUUUAUACCAUCAAGAACUUUAUCUUGAAUCACAACAUGCGGUUGUCUAUGUAUAAUGACCAUUGUACCUUGAAGUUGCUUAGUGUUGCCGAGACAAGAUUUGCUUCUCAUUAUGUGUGUCUUAAAAGGUUUAAGGAAGUGAAGAAUGGCAUGCAACAAAUGGUCAUAAGUCCAAGAUGGGACAUGUAUAAAGAAGAUGAUGUUAGUAAAGCAAGAGAUGUGAAGGCUCUGCUAUUGAAUGAUUAUUUUUGGGAGAAGAUUGAUUGUAUGAUUGGAUUCAUGGGUUCUAUAUAUGAGAUGAUAAGGAUGGGGGAUAUGGAUAGGUCUUGUCUUCACUUAGUUUAUGAGUGGUGGGAUACAAUGAUAGAGGAAGUAAAGAUGGCUAUCUACAAGCCCGAAUUUGCA